GUUACCAUAAUGGCGUAUGGUGGAUGCCUAGACACAAAAAGGCGAUGAAGGACGUGGCGUGCCUGCGAUAAGCCUCGGGGAGGUGGUGAGCAACCUUUGAUCCGAGGAUGUC
rnacentral:rRNA from 1 species